AUUGAACGCUGGCGGCAGGCCUAACACCUGCAAGUCGAACGAGUGGCGGACGGGUGAGUAAUGUCUGGGAAACUGCCUGAUGGAGGGGGAUAACUACUGGAAACGGUAGCUAAUACCGCAUCCCAUCGAAUGUGCCCAGCUGUGAUUAGCUAGUAGGUGGGGUAAAGGCUCACCUCGGCGACGAUCCCUAGCUGGUCUGAGCGGAUGACCAGCCACACUGGAAAGGAGACACGGUCCAGACUCCUACGGGAGGCAGCAGGGGGGAAUAUUGCACAAUGGGCGCAAGCCUGAUGCAGCCAUGCCGCGUGUAUGAAGAAGGCCUUCGGGUUGUAAAGUACUUUCAGCGGGGAGGCGUUACCAGCAGAAGAAGCACCGGCUAACUCCGUGCCAGCAGCCGCGGUAAUUC
rnacentral:rRNA from 1 species